rnacentral:lncRNA from 1 species
AAACAGGCAGGUGAAAAAAACAUUCAGAGUUACGCUGUGUUUUCUCCAUAAUUUAGGUUUCUCUUUGCACAUGAGAUUCAGUAGACCGAUCCUUAAGGAGCGUGAACUUAUUUUUUACGAUUGAUAAACCCUCUGAAGAUUUAUACCACGCUGUCAUUGUUUCUCUGACCCAUCUGGUGACUGUGAUCAUAUUCAAACAUUAAAUGGGAGGAAAAUAAAUGUGCAUUCUUUCUGGGAUGGCACACACAUAUGUUCUCAGCCUGAAAGUCAGAUUCGGCUGAAGAAGACACACACCAAAAAAUGGAUCUGCUUAAAUGGGAAGAGGCUCAAAUCAGUUCCCAAGCAGCUGCUUUAUUUUGAGCAAAGCUGCAUGUAAUACUAGAUGGGAUUAAAUCUCUUUUUCUGAUGAGGAGCUGGCCAAAUGUUUCCUGGUUUCUAACUUAGGGAUGUCAAAGAGGAACAAAGAGGACCUUCCAAGAUAUCUUCUGCUGAAUAUGUCAUUCAAGAUUCUUCCUAGCCAGACCUUUGCUAAUUGGAGAUAAACGUCUCUAGGUAAAUUGUCUGAGAAUAAAUUACUUCAAUCGACAGAGAACUUGAUUCUUUAUUUAAGCAUGCUGGGGGCUUCAGGGCAAUUUUAUUCAUUUAUUCUUUUGAGUAAGGUGCUGAUAUUGGCCAUUUUUUUUCUUUCUUUCCUUUUUGUUCUUAAAGAUUGGCACCUGAGCUAACAACAGUUGCCAAUCUUCUUUCUUCUUUUUCUUUUUCCUUGCUUUUUCUCCCCAAAUCCCCCCAGUACAUAGUUUAUAUUUUAGUUGUGGGUCCUGCUAGUUGUGAUAUGUGGGAUGCCGCCUCAGCAUGGCCUAAUGAACGGUGCCAUGUCCACGACCAGGAUCCGAACCGGCGAAACCCUGGGCCACUGAAGCGGAGCAUGUGAACUUAACCCCUCGCCCACGGGGCCAGCCCCUGCUAUUUGCCAUUUUUAAUGGUCUCUGAGACUAAGCCAGACUACGAGCCGGGGCAAGUUCUUAAAAACCACGUUUCCUUCCUUAGGUCAAAUUCACUUUCUACUUGUGAUCACGGAUUUUGAUUUGCGACGUUUUCUCGAAUUUCCUGAGGGUAAAAAAUGCUUGUGAGGGAGAAGAUGGUCUCCGUAACUGCGCGUGGGGAGGUGCUGACACAUGUGCUUCUUCAGGAGUCAGAAUGCCAGGUGUUCCUUUCGGCCUCGCCUGUCACUCUCCUCUCUGCUGGUUCUUGUAUUCACACAGCCUGUGCUGCCUUUGGAACUUGAAGGCCUUGCUCCAAGCCAGCCUGCCAGAGUUUGAGAACAGUCACAUGCAAAGUUCUGGAAAUUGACCAUUAAUCAAAUGAGAGAAAAAAUAUGAAAAACAACUUCAUCAUUCUGUCAAAUGUCAAGUCACUGACGUGCAUCUGUGGAGCCCUUGAAAUAAACUAUCUCCUGACAAUAUUUUCAAAACGUGGCCUUUGUGAACCACCUGCAUUAAAAUCAUUUCCAGUGUAUGGGUGGAGGGGGCACACAGGGGACAAAACAGUGGUAUUAAAAAUGCAGAUUCCUUUUCCCCACCCCAGAGGUAACGAGUACACCAGAGUCUUUGAGGCAGGGCCUGGGAAUCUGCAUUUUCCAGGGUGAUUCUUGUGCAUUGUGAUGUCUUAAAAACAGCUGUUUUAAGAAGUAAGUCAUCUUACUCAAGAAAAUUUUAUCUUGGAUUGAAAAUCAAAAGGGUGGUGAGAAAUGAAGGGCACAUUCUAAGACAUUCCUUGGCCACUGCAACAAUACUUUUUUCCCAGCUUUAUUGAAGUAUGAUCGACAUAUAACAUUGUGUAAGGUUACGAUGUACAAUGUGAUGAUUUGUUACGUGUAUAUAUUAUGAAAUGAUUGCCACAAUAGAGUUAGUUAACACCUCAUCAUCUCAC